GGGGGUGAUUCGGAUUCGACCGGGUCGUGAAUCGUGUAAUGGCGCGUCGAGGAUUCAGUUGGCCUCGUAAAAAAACUGAAAAAAAAUAAUUGCAGAUGAAAAUCUAGCACUAGCAGCUUAAUUGUUGCUCGUAAAUAAGCUUUUGUCUGAGGAGCUUAUUUAUGACCGAAUCAGACUUUGGUUCUGGCGACUCCUGUUCGAAGUCAAUAGAAACGAGAACUUAAUCGAGCUCGAUGAUGCGUAGCCUGCCUUUUGGCGACAAUUCAUUAAAAUUAAAUAAAAGGAUACACGCGUAGAAGUUAUAUGUGAAGCACUACGGGACGUGGGUUCAACUCCCACCACCUCCAUCC
rnacentral:tmRNA from 1 species